rnacentral:rRNA from 1 species
GUGUCAGCAGCCGCGGUAAUACGAAGGGGGCUAGCGUUGCUCGGAAUGACUGGGCGUAAAGGGCGCGUAGGCGGUUUGGUCAGUUAGAUGUGAAAUUCCUGGGCUUAACCUGGGGGCUGCAUUUAAUACGGCCAGGCUUGAGUGUGAAAGAGGGUCGUGGAAUUCCCAGUGUAGAGGUGAAAUUCGUAGAUAUUGGGAAGAACACCGGUGGCGAAGGCGGCGACCUGGUUCAUUACUGACGCUGAGGCGCGAAAGCGUGGGGAGCAAACAGGAUUAGAAACCCCCGUAGUCC